rnacentral:rRNA from 1 species
GAUGAAAGAUGGAGGCGUGCCUAAUACAUGCAAGUCGAGCGAACGGACGAGAAGCUUGCUUCUCUGAUGUUAGCGGCGGACGGGUGAGUAACACGUGGAUAACCUACCUAUAAGACUGGGAUAACUUCGGGAAACCGGAGCUAAUACCGGAUAAUAUUUUGAACCGCAUGGUUCAAAAGUGAAAGACGGUCUUGCUGUCACUUAUAGAUGGAUCCGCGCUGCAUUAGCUAGUUGGUAAGGUAACGGCUUACCAAGGCAACGAUGCAUAGCCGACCUGAGAGGGUGAUCGGCCACACUGGAACUGAGACACGGUCCAGACUCCUACGGGAGGCAGCAGUAGGGAAUCUUCCGCAAAGGGCGAAAGCCUGACGGGGCAACGCCGCGUGAGUGAUGAAGGUCUUCGGAUCGUAAAACUCUGUUAUUAGGGAAGAACAUAUGUGUAAGUAACUGUGCACAUCUUGACGGUACCUAAUCAGAAAGCCACGGCUAACUACGUG